rnacentral:snRNA from 1 species
GUGCUCACUUUGGCAGCAGAUGACUAAAACUGGAAGGAUGCACAGACGAUUAGCAUGGCCCCCUGUGCAAGGAUGAUGCGCAAAUUCGUGAAGUGUUCCAUAUUUUU